CCGGGAAUUUCCUAGCCUAGUGGACAUGGCAUCUGCCCGGUAAGCGGAACACUGUGGGUUCGAUUCCCAUCCCUGGA